UUUGAAGGUGAUGCAAAAAGUGUUAGAAUGAUGAUGAUGAUCCUAUUUAAACAGGGAUGAAGUUUGGAUUAUAGUUAGGUUUAGAAUGAGGUUUGGAAUCUGUUAGAUGAGGCUUGGAGUUGGUUAGAAUUGGCUCACUGAGUUAGCAGUUAACUCAGUUAGUUAUGUUUGACUCAGUUAGUUAGGAAUGGUUAAUGAAUUUGAACUUGUUUUUCUUUUACUGGUUAUGACAGGUUGGUUUAAGUGGAAUUGAACUUAAUCAUGAAUGAUGACCUGCUGAGCAGGUUUUUCUCUUAGUUGUUAAUGAGUUGGUUUAUCUAGUGUCCUGUUUGAAUUACCAUUACAUGGAGUUAG
rnacentral:lncRNA from 1 species